UACAUGGUGAAACCCUGGGUCAGAUGGUCAGGUAGUACCACAGACCUACAGUACAGUACUGUAGAUGUCUAUACUGCAUGGUGGAACCCUGGGCCAGAUGGUCAGGUAGUACCACAGACCUACAGUACAGUAGAUGUCUAUACUGCAUGGUGAAACCCUGGGCCAGAUGGUCAGGUAGUACCACAGACCUACAGUACAGUAGAUGUCUAUACUGCAUGGUGAAACCCUGGGCCAGAUGGUCAGGUAGUACCACAGACCUACAGUACAGUAGAUGUCUAUACUGCAUGGUGGAACCCUGGGCCAGAUGGUCAGGUAGUACCACAGACCUACAGUACAGUAGAUGUCUAUACUGCAUGGUGAAACCCUGGGCCAGAUGGUCAGGUAGUACCACAGACCUACAGUACAGUAGAUGUCUAUACUGCAUGGUGAAACCCUGGGCCAGAUGGUCAGGUAGUACCACAGACCUACAGUACAGUAGAUGUCUAUACUGCAUGGUGAAACCCUGGGCCAGAUGGUCAGGUAGUACCACAGACCUACAGUACAGUAGAUGUCUAUACUGCAUGGUGGAACCCUGGGCCAGAUGGUCAGGUAGUACCACAGACCUACAGUACAGUAGAUGUCUAUACUGCAUGGUGGAACCCUGGGCCAGAUGGUCAGGUAGUACCACAGACCUACAGUACAGUAGAUGUCUAUACUGCAUGGUGAAACCCUGGGCCAGAUGGUCAGGUAGUA